rnacentral:rRNA from 1 species
AAAUUGAAGAGUUUGAUCAUGGCUCAGAUUGAACGCUGGCGGCAGGCCUAACACAUGCAAGUCGAGCGGAAACGAGUUAUCUGAACCUUCGGGGAACGAUAACGGCGUCGAGCGGCGGACGGGUGAGUAAUGCCUAGGAAAUUGCCCUGAUGUGGGGGAUAACCAUUGGAAACGAUGGCUAAUACCGCAUGAUGCCUACGGGCCAAAGAGGGGGACCUUCGGGCCUCUCGCGUCAGGAUAUGCCUAGGUGGGAUUAGCUAGUUGGUGAGGUAAGGGCUCACCAAGGCGACGAUCCCUAGCUGGUCUGAGAGGAUGAUCAGCCACACUGGAACUGAGACACGGUCCAGACUCCUACGGGAGGCAGCAGUGGGGAAUAUUGCACAAUGGGCGCAAGCCUGAUGCAGCCAUGCCGCGUGUGUGAAGAAGGCCUUCGGGUUGUAAAGCACUUUCAGUCGUGAGGAAGGUGGUAGUGUUAAUAGCACUAUCAUUUGACGUUAGCGACAGAAGAAGCACCGGCUAACUCCGUGCCAGCAGCCGCGGUAAUACGGAGGGUGCGAGCGUUAAUCGGAAUUACUGGGCGUAAAGCGCAUGCAGGUGGUUUGUUAAGUCAGAUGUGAAAGCCCGGGGCUCAACCUCGGAAUAGCAUUUGAAACUGGCAGACUAGAGUACUGUAGAGGGGGGUAGAAUUUCAGGUGUAGCGGUGAAAUGCGUAGAGAUCUGAAGGAAUACCGGUGGCGAA